rnacentral:rRNA from 1 species
UACGGAGGGGGCUAGCGUUGUUCGGAAUUACUGGGCGUAAAGCGCGCGUAGGCGGAUCUGCAAGUCGGGGGUGAAAUCCCGAGGCUCAACCUCGGAACUGCCUUCGAUACUGCGGGUCUCGAGUCCGGGAGAGGUGAGUAGAAUUCCUAGUGUAGAGGUGAAAUUCGUAGAUAUUAGGAAGAACACCAGUGGCGAAGGCGGCUCACUGGCCCGGUACUGACGCUGAGGCGCGAAAGCGUGGGGAGCAAACAGG